rnacentral:rRNA from 1 species
AAGACCUUGCGCUUUUGGAGCGGCCGAUGCCUGAUUAGCUUGUUGGUAAGGUAAAAGCUAACCAAGGCUUCGAUCAGUAGCUGGUCUGAGAGGACGACCAGCCACACUGGGACUGAGACACGGCCCAGACUCCUACGGGAGGCAGCAGUGGGGAAUUUUGGACAAUGGGGGCAACCCUGAUCCAGCCAUGCCGCGUGAGUGAAGAAGGCCUUCGGGUUGUAAAGCUCUUUCAGCCGGAACGAAACGGUUACGGAUAACACCCGUGACUACUGACGGUACCGGAAGAAGAAGCACCGGCUAACUACGUGCCAGCAGCCGCGGUAAUACGUAGGGUGCGAGCGUUAAUCGGAAUUACUGGGCGUAAAGCGUGCGCAGGUGGUUUUGUAAGUCAGAUGUGAAAGCCCCGGGCUCAACCUGGGAACU